rnacentral:tRNA from 1 species
UCCCUGAUGGUCUAGUGGUUAGGCACCAGGGCUCUCAUUGCUGUGGCUUGGGUUCAAUACCCAGUCAGGGAA